CCUACGGGUGGCAGCAGUGAGGAAUAUUGGUCAAUGGACGCGAGUCUGAACCAGCCAUGCAGCGUGCAGGAUGACGGCCCUACGAGUUGUACACUUCUUUUGUAAGGGAAUAAACGCAGAUACGCGUACCUGUCUGAAAGUAUCUUACGAAUAAGGAUCGGCUAACUCCGUGCCAGCAGCCGCGGUAAUACGGAGGAUUCGAGCGUUAUCCGGAUUUAUUGGGUUUAAAGGGUGCGUAGGCGGUCUGAUAAGUUAGUGGUGAAAGCCCGCGGCUCAACUUCAGAAUUGCCUUUGAUACUGUCAGCCUAGAGAGUAGUUGCGGUAGGCGGAAUGUAUGGUGUAGCGGUGAAAUGCUUAGAGAUCACACAGAACACCGAUUGCGAAGGCAGCUUACCAAGCUACCACUGACGUUGAGGCACGAAAGCGUGGGUAUCAAACAGGAUUAGAUACCCGAGUAGUC
rnacentral:rRNA from 1 species